GACGAACGCUGGCGGCGUGCUUAACACAUGCAAGUCGAACGGAAAGGCCCUGCUUUUGUGGGGUGCUCGAGUGGCGAACGGGUGAGUAACACGUGAGUAACCUGCCCUUGACUUUGGGAUAACUUCAGGAAACUGGGGCUAAUACCGGAUAGGAGCUCCUGCUGCAUGGUGGGGGUUGGAAAGUUUCGGCGGUUGGGGAUGGACUCGCGGCUUAUCAGCUUGUUGGUGGGGUAGUGGCUUACCAAGGCUUUGACGGGUAGCCGGCCUGAGAGGGUGACCGGCCACAGUGGGACUGAGGUACGGCCCAGACUCCUACGGGAGGCAGCAGUGGGGAAUAUUGCACAAUGGGCGGAAGCCUGAUGCAGCAACGCCGCGUGCGGGAUGACGGCCUUCGGGUUGUAAACCGCUUUCGCCUGUGACGAAGCGUGAGUGACGGUAAUGGGUAAAGAAGCACCGGCUAACUACGUG
rnacentral:rRNA from 1 species